rnacentral:lncRNA from 1 species
CCCCCUUCAUCAUGUAAGUCGUAAAAGAAGUCUUUUACGCCUCACCUACGUUUGUUUUCACAAACGCCUUUUUAUUUGUUGCUAAAUUUGUUUGUAUAUUAAAAUGCAAAAAAAUUGAAUAUUACAAUGAAGUUCAAAAACAUAGUCCCAUCUCCCGUAGGGACUAAAAACACUAGUUAAAACUAGGACACCCAAAACCUAACUUUAUAUAAUAAUCCUCACAACCCGAGGUUAGGUUUAGGAAAUCAACCCAAACUGAGUGGAGAAGUUGGUAGAGCAGGCCCAAAGAUGAGCCCCGCCUAUGGAAACCUGACCCAUUUGGUAAAAUCAGCUGACCCAAAAGUCAUAGCACAAUAGAAGUCAGCAUUCAAAAAUCCCACGAAAGCAAAUUGAUUUGAAAUUUAACGUGGGCCCCAGAACAUCAGUCCAUGACCAGCAAGCUUGGACACCGUGCACUAAAAAACCAAACUGAACAUGAAGAGAUAACACCUGCAGAGCAGUUACCGGCGGAAAUCCUGGAGAUGGCAACAGCCGGUGCAACACCCAACUAGACCAAAAUGCCCAACUGAAUCGCAUAUGGAUCAGAAGGCAACCAGCUAGAAACACCAUUAAUUCUGAUAUGAGGAAGCAUGGGUAAAUCAAAAGACGCAUAGCAGAUCUAUUUCCCAAUUUAACGGACGAAAAAAAAAAAACCAACCUUCAUCCAUUCAAAACCUAUGAACAAAGGAUGAACAUAGUAAAAAUGGAACGAAAACAUCCAAAUCAGUACAUUAAAGAGAUGAGCAGUAAGAACCAUAAAGACUGAUCGGAGACACACGGACAGUCACCCGAGAAGCAAACCACCAUAUCUGAACAUUUAAAACAACGUCCAGAAAGGAAGAGCAUGGAUUAGGAAGUCAUCCACACCAAUAAAUGCCCAACACAACAAUCUGAACAAUAAAGUCCAGAAUGGGAGCAACGAGACCAACACUAGGGAUGAACCCGGAACCCUCGUCCUAACCACCAACCAAAACCAAACACCAAGAUCUGAAACCCCAAGACCAGAGCCCUAAAAACCACCACUCCAGAUCAUAACUGCAAGUCCAGAACUCAAAACCCCAUACUAAUCUAUACAAAGAAGCACCCACGAUCAAAAAUGCCCCGGGCUUUGCAAAACACAGAUCGGUAAUCAGAUUUUCAGGAAGGUCCUAAAUCAGCUGCCGGAAAAGCUCAAAUAGAACCAAGUGAUGAGUAAAAUGGAAAGAAGUGAUGGUGGGCCAGAGUGAAGAGAAGGGAGAGGGAGGGGAAGCAGGUGGGCCGGAUGUUCAGAGAAGAAGCGAAGAAGAAUGAAGGCCGGAAGACCGGUGAAAGAGAAGAUCACCACCAACACAACAACCAUCUCUAACAUGACCCAAAUAACCCAAAACCAUCCAGAUCAGAUCCGUAGAACGGGUGGGCCGUAAAAUGGAGGGGUAAAUCUGAGAGCAAGGAAGAGAAUGGACGAAGGGUGGAAGAUGGGUAGGGGAGGGGGGGUUUCUAGAGAGAAGGAGGAACUUCUCUAUCUACCCUACUUGGAACCCUCGAU